rnacentral:rRNA from 1 species
UACGUAGGGUGCAAGCGUUGUCCGGAAUUAUUGGGCGUAAAGAGCUCGUAGGCGGUUUGUCGCGUCGGGAGUGAAAACCAGGUGCUUAACACCUGGCUUGCUUUCGAUACGGGCAGACUAGAGGUAUGCAGGGGAGAACGGAAUUCCUGGUGUAGCGGUGAAAUGCGCAGAUAUCAGGAGGAACACCGGUGGCGAAGGCGGUUCUCUGGGCAUGACCUGACGCUGAGGAGCGAAAGUGUGGGGAGCGAACAGG